AGCAACUAAACCAAAAAUCGCAAAGGAGGUGUGAAAUCUACCUGAUAUUUCCCCUCGCCCCCGUCAGGUUACCGUUGCCAUUGCUAAGGUGGGAAUUAAAGUAACAAAGUCGAAUAAAUGGGGUUCCAGUGGCGGGUACACCCAGCAGCCCUUACGUAAGAAGCGGAAGAUCGUAUCCUCCAGGAAGAGGCGGAGUCGAGGUGAGGGAGUGAAAUGCUUAAUUCAGGAAUGGAUUUUGGAGUUUCUGGGUGCUGAAGAAAUAGGGCCUUUCCGUCUGCGGGCCCAGUGAGUCGACACGGUGGGGGCCCGCGAUCCCCGGGACUUACCACUGAAUAAAUCCAGUCCAGCGUGCGACGACUUACUGGCUUCAUGGGGUCGCAGCCGCCGCUGGGGUCUCCGCUGUCUCGCGAGGAGGGUGAAGCGCCCCCGCCUGCUCCCGCUUCGGAGGGUAGGCGGAGAAGUCGCCGGGUACGCCUUCGCGGAUCCUGCCGUCACCGACCUAGCUUUCUGGGCUGCCGGGAGCUCGCGGCGAGCGCCCCAGCCAGGCCUGCGCCCGCAUCCUCCGAGAUAAUGGCAUCAGCUGCUAAGGAAUUUAAAAUGGACAACUUUUCACCUAAAGCUGGCACUAGCAAAUUGCAACAGACAGUACCAGCUGAUGCAUCUCCUGAUUCUAAGUGUCCUAUAUGCUUGGAUAGAUUUGAUAAUGUGUCUUACUUAGAUCGCUGCUUACAUAAGUUCUGUUUUCGCUGUGUACAGGAGUGGUCAAAAAACAAAGCUGAAUGCCCACUAUGUAAACAGCCCUUUGAUUCUAUUUUCCAUUCUGUGAGGGCAGAAGAUGACUUCAAGGAGUAUGUCCUAAGGCCUUCGUAUAAUGGUUCUUUUGUCACCCCUGAUCGACGAUUUCGCUACCGUACAACUCUGACAAGGGAACGAAAUGCUUCUGUUUAUUCACCUAGUGGUCCUGUGAACAGAAGAACAACAACUCCGCCAGAUAGUGGAGUACUGUUUGAAGGGUUAGGCAUUUCAACAAGACCUAGAGAUGUUGAAAUUCCUCAAUUUAUGAGACAGAUUGCAGUAAGGAGGCCAACUACGGCAGAUGAAAGAUCUUUGCGGAAAAUUCAAGAACAAGAUAUUAUUAAUUUUAGACGAACUCUUUAUCGUGCUGGUGCUCGAGUUAGAAAUAUUGAAGAUGGUGGCCGCUACAGGGAUAUUUCAGCUGAAUUUUUCCGUAGAAAUCCAGCUUGCCUUCACAGAUUAGUCCCCUGGUUAAAACGUGAACUUACAGUUCUUUUUGGAGCUCAUGGAUCUUUAGUGAAUAUUGUCCAGCAUAUUAUCAUGAGUAAUGUUACUCGCUAUGACUUGGAGAGUCAGGCAUUUGUGUCUGAUUUAAGACCAUUUUUACUUAAUCGAACUGAGCAUUUUAUACAUGAAUUUAUCAGUUUUGCCCGAUCUCCUUUUAACAUGGCAGCCUUUGACCAGCAUGCCAAUUAUGAUUGCCCUGCUCCUUCAUACGAAGAAGGCAGCCAUUCUGAUUCUUCAGUCAUAACAAUAUCUCCAGAUGAGGCUGAGACCCAAGAGCUGGAUAUUAAUGUAGCCACUGUUAGUCAGGCACCAUGGGAUGAUGAAACUCCAGGACCAUCUUACUCAAGCUCAGAGCAGGUACACGUUACUAUGUCUUCUCUUUUAAAUACUUCUGACAGUUCAGAUGAAGAACUUGUCACAGGAGGAGCCACGUCUCAGAUACAAGGAGUACAAACCAAUGACGACCUAAAUAAUGACAGUGAUGAUUCUUCAGAUAAUUGUGUCAUUGUUGGGUUUGUUAAACCACUAGCUGAGAGGACCCCAGAACUUGUUGAACUGUCCUCUGAUUCUGAGGACUUAGGUUCUUAUGAGAAAAUGGAGACAGUGAAGACACAAGAACAGGAGCAAUCUUACAGUUCUGGUGAUAGCGAUGUUAGUAGAUGCUCAUCUCCACACUCUGUCCUUGGAAAGGAUGAACAAAUAAAUAAAGGUCAUUGUGAUACUAGUACAAGAAUCAAAUCAAAGAAGGAAGAGAAACGAUCUACAUCAUUGUCAUCUCCCAGAAACCUGAACUCAUCUGUAAGAGGAGACAGAGUAUAUUCUCCAUAUAACCAUAGACACAGAAAGAGGGGAAGAUCAAGAAGUUCAGAUUCACGUUCUCAGAGUAGAAGUGGGCAUGAUCAGAAGAAUCAUAGAAAGCAUCAUGGGAAGAAAAGAAUGAAAAGUAAACGAUCCAGAAGCAGGGAAAGUAGCAGACCUAGAGGGAGAAGAGACAAAAAGAGAUCAAGAACUAGAGAUAGCAGUUGGUCCAGAAGAAGCCAAACUCUGUCUCUAAGUAGUGAAAGCACAAGCAGAUCAAGGUCUCGUAGCAGUGAUCAUGGUAAAAGAAGAUCACGGAGCAGAAAUAGAGAUCGUUAUUAUUUAAGAAAUAAUUAUGGAAGCAGAUACAAAUGGGAGUAUACUUAUUACAGUAGAAACAAGGACAGGGAUGGGUACGAAUCAUCUUACAGGAGGAGGACUCUGUCCAGAGCUCAUUAUUCUAGACAGUCUUCAAGUCCAGAAUUUAGAGUUCAGUCCUUUUCUGAAAGAACAAAUGCUAGGAAAAAAAAUAAUCACAGUGAGAGGAAGUAUUACUACUAUGAAAGGCACAGAUCAAGGAGCCUGUCUAGUAACAGAUCAAGGACUGCAUCUACCGGGACUGACCGGGUGAGAAAUGAAAAGCCUGGAGGGAAACGAAAAUACAAAACACGGCAUUUGGAGGGUACUAACGAAGUGGCUCAGCCAUCUCGUGAAUUUGCUUCUAAAGCAAAGGACAGUCAUUACCAAAAAUCUUCAUCAAAAUUGGAUGGAAACUACAAAAAUGAGAGUGAUACCUUUUCAGACAGCCGAUCAUCAGACAGAGAGACAAAACACAAAAGGAGAAAAAGGAAGACCCGGAGCCUAAGUGUAGAGAUAGUUUAUGAAGGAAAAGCUACUGAUACAACUAAACACCAUAAAAAGAAAAAGAAGAAACAUAAGAAGAAGCAUAAGAAACACCAUGGAGAUAAUGCUUCACGUUCCCCAGUUGUAAUUACCAUUGACAGUGACAGUGAUAAGGAUUCUGAAGUAAAGGAGGAUACAGAAUGUGACAAUAGUGGUCCUCAAGACCCUCUACAAAAUGAGUUUUUGGCUCCUUCCUUGGAACCAUUUGAAACUAAAGAUGUAGUUACAAUAGAAGCUGAAUUUGGUGUGCUGGACAAGGAAUGUGAUAUUGCCACACUUACUAACAACUUGAAUAAUGCCAACAAAACUGUAGAUAAUAUUCCACCUCUGGCAGCUUCAGUUGAACAAACUCUCGAUGUAAGAGAAGAGAGCACCUUUGUUUCUGAUUUGGAGAACCAGCCCAGUAACAUUGUGUCUAUUCAAACUGAGCCAUCAAGGCAGUUGCCAUCGCCACGGACAUCAUUAAUGUCAGUAUGUCUUGGUAGAGACUGUGAUAUGUCUUAAAACUGCCAAAGCAUUUCAUUGAGAAUUAUGAUGUUAUAAAAAGGAAAAAGGAAGAAUGUCAUCUACUGCAGUCUAUUUAAAGAUGACAUUUGGUGAAAACUCUCUUCCUCCUUACAAUAUUGUAUACAACAUUCCCACCAUCACAGAUGAAAUAGAAGAUACUCAUCAGGAGGAAAAUUUCCAGUGGGCAUCUGAAAAUUGGAGUGUGAAUCUUGGAGGCAAGAUUGGGGCUAGAGAAAUGAUUUAGGAGUUGCUGUGAAACAGAGUAGUACUGAGGCUGUGGGAGGAUGAGAUACUCCAGAGAGAGGAGAUAGAGCAAGAGAAGCAGACGUAAGUGAGAAUUCUAGGGAACAUAAUAUGAAAAGUUGGCUGGCAACAGAAAAGAAGCUUUCAAAAGAGGCCAAGAAGUGUUUCCCAUAGUCCCACAUACUUUCUUUGCCUCUUCAAUUUUAUGUUGUGUCUCCUGUAUCUAAUACAGUGCCCUCGUCACUACGGAACAUAGACUUUUUGAGAGGUUAAUCUUAUUUUUAGGUUCUUGGGAGCACCUCACUCUUACCUUCAUGUGAUGAUUAUGUUAGAAACCGUUGCUGUGGUGGAGCAGGUUAGGCUGCCUCCAAGGAAAUCUAAUAGGAUUUUUAGAAUAUAGGACUGGGAAGUACCAUCUUUAGAUUCUACUCUAUCAGUCACUCUCCUUUGCUUUCCUUCAUGUCCAGUUAUGAUUUUCCAGAUAAUGUUUUAAUCACUCUCCUUGCAAUACCUCCAACUCACUUGCCCUUCUUUCUUUCAUCAUUUACCUACUUUAGGAGUUGGGAAACUUUUCCUCUAGGGCCAUACACAGGCUGUGUCACAUAAUCUUUGUUUUUUUCUACAUUUUUUUUCAAAUUGAGGUGGAGCUUUGCUUUGUUGCCCAGCAUGGUCUCAAACUCCUGGGUUCAAGCAGUCCUCCCACCUUGGCCUCCCAAAGUGCUGGGAUUACAGGUGUGAGCCACCAUGCCUGGCCUACAACACUUUCUAAAUGUUAAAACAAUUUUUAGCUUUUGGUCUGUACAAAAACAAGACACGCGCCAGAUUUGGAAUGCAAGCUGUAGUUGGCUAACAGUUUACCUAGCAAGAUCUCAGUCUGGAUGAACCCAGCUCUUCAGUUCUGCGUACGUGCAUGCUGCUAAGUAUCGUGAAGGAAAUCAGUAACUGGUAACCGUGCAGAUUGGUGUACAUCAGCUUCAUAAGCUGUACAACAUUAGAGGGCAAGUUUUUGUAGUAUUCUUGCUCAUUGUAUUUGGCAUAAUGGCUUUUUUACACCUUUUUCUCCUCAACCCUAUUUCUCUCUACCACCUAUAUAUUUUAGAGAUAGGACUGAGUGACUGGCUGGGCAGUUAUGAUCAGCACAGGCUCAAACAGAAACCCUGCCUGUUUACCAAAACCAGUAUCUGCGUCAUAUUAGUUCUUAGAGAUACUGCCUGCCAAGACUGUCUUGACUGGCAUUCUUGUAUGUCUUCAGUCAGCUUGUAGGUCGGCUGAUCUAAGCCUUCACCUGGGGUUACUGGGCUCUAUGUGGUUUCUCAUCCUCCAGCACGUUGGCCUGAGCUUGUUUACGUGAUCUGACCAACUCAUCUAAUAUAAGCAGCCCCAUUACUCCUUAUUCCUUUUUCUACUUUAUUUCUCCUCAUAGCACUUAUUACUACAUAACAUCUACUUUUCUGUCUGUCUCCCUCACUAGAAUGUGGUAAGCUCUAAAGCCAUAUUCUCCACUUUAGUCAUGGUAAUACCAUUCUCCCAGUUGCUCAAACCAGAUACCUGGAAUUUAUCCUCGAUUUUUCUCAUUCCUUUCCUCUGCCAGCCACUCAAUCCUGUCUCUAAAAUAUAUCUCAAUUAACUUCUUACACUCUCUACCACAAUGUCCUUAUCUAUGCCGCUCAGCAUCUCUUACUUGAGUCACCUCCCAACUGAUCUCAUUCUGGCUAGGAGCCAGAGAGGUUUUUAAAAAGUGUAAUCAGAUUAUGCUAUUCCUUGAUUAAAACCCUGCAGUAUGGCUGGGUGCAGUGGCUCACACCUGUAAUCUCAGCACUUUGGGAGGCGGAGACCAUCCUGGCUAACACGGUGAAACUCUGUUUCUACUAAAAAUACAAAAACAAAAUUAGCCUGGCAUGGUGGUGGGUGCGGGAGAAUGGCGUGAACCCGGGAGGCAGAGCUUGCAGUGAGCCUAGAUGGCACUACUGCACUCCAGCCUGGGUGACAGAGCAAGACUCCAUCUCAAAAAAAUUAAAUAAACAACAACAACAAUAACAGAAAACCCUGCAGUAUGUUCUCACUGCACUUCAUUCCUUGCAUUAAAGAUGCUGCUGUUUCAGCUCCACUUGCAAUACCAUUUACUCCUUGCUCACAGAGUUCCAGCUACAAGCAUCUUGCAUCUUUCACUUUUUUUUUUUAAACUCUUCUGUGCAUUCUGUCUCCCUGUAUGGAAUACCCCUUUACCUGCUUUUUUUUUUUUUUUUUUUUUUUUUUUUUUUUUGAGACGGGGUCUGGCUCUGUUGCCCAGACUGGAGGGCAAUGGCGUGAUCUCAUGAUCUCGGUUCACUGCAACCCCUGUCUCCCAGGUUUAAGCAGUUCUCCUGCCUCAGCCUCCCGAGUAGCUGGGACUACAGGUGUGUGCCACCGCACCCAAUUUUUUGUAUUUUUAGUAGGGAUGGGGUUUCACCAUGUUGGCCAGGCUGGUCUCAAACUCCUGACUGCAAAUGAUCCACCCGCCUUGGCCUCCCAAAGUGCCGGGAUUACAUGUAUGAGCCACUGUGCCCGGCUUACCUGCUUUUUUUUUGAAUAGCUAAUUCCUUCUUCUUCUUCAGGAUUCAGCUGAAAUGUGACCUCCUCAGAAAGGUAUUCCCUUACCACUGUAUUGAAAUAGUUUUCUCCAUGUCACUUCACAUUUGGCAGUUACUAUUUGUGUUUUUACAUCUUUAUUGUGUCUUCUUCCUCCUUCAUUCAGACUCUAAGCUCUUGACAGAGACUCUUUUCCACUUAUCUCCAUGUAUCUAGUGUUUUUCACAGUACCUGACGUACAGUAGAUAUUCUGUAAAUGUGUUGAGUAAAUUAAUGCCCAGGUGAGGAGAUGGUCUAAGACUGAGAUUUUUUUUUAAUUUUUAAUUUUUAAUUUUAAGUUAUGGGGUACAUCUGCAGGAUGUGCAGGUUUGUUACAUAGGUAAAUGUGUGCCAUGGUGGUUUGCUGCACCUAUCAACCCAUCACCUAGGUAUUAGGUGAUAAGAUAUCACCUAAUCCUUCUGUGACACUCCCCUUCUUUCCUGGCCUUGGUCAAUUUUUACCUAUGAAUCUGUCAAAUGAUUCCAUUUCUGGAACUUCAUUUCUUUCAGAUAUAAUCUAUACUAUAAUUGUUGAUGUUUUCUAAAUCUGUUGUUAUUCAGGAAUACAUUAUUUCCCACUAGUAGCAUAGAAGGAGGCAUGUCUUUACCUUUUUAAAGGAAUUUUGGAUCUGAUUUCUUUUUCUCAGCUAAAACCCAAAUCGAGGUAUUGGAAGAGUAGCUUGCAUGAGAUAAUAAUUAUAAACAUAGGCAAAACAUAAGGGUAUAAAGAACGUGAAGGCACUGGAGGGCAAUCAAAAAGCAGAAACUGGAGGGAAUUAGACCCUUGAAAGAUGGAGAUGACACUGUAUGAGAACAGUUUCUUUGGCGUUUCAUCUGAGGGUCAUCCCCUGUCCAUAGGGAGACUAGAAUGCAAGCAGAGAGCCACAGACAUUGUGUCAGAAGAUGGACCCUGGGGCUGCCCGAGUGACUGCAUUUUGAGGGAGAAAUUUCAGAAAGUAGACACAGAAAACAAGCCCUAAAAUUUUUGUAUAACUUUCACUCAAAUCUUUACCUGACCCUGAAAUGUACAUGUGCAGGGAAGAUUCCAAAAAGCCCAUGUAAGCAAUAGCUGGAAAGCUAAAAGGGCUCAAUAGAUACAUUUCAGCCACCACCACAAGGAAUAUAGAACUUGGAGGUUGAAUCCCACCAACUUAGAUGGGCUGAGAAACAUGUAGGACUUUUCACUGGAACAUGCAGGGCCACAGCUUACUGUGGAAGACUAUGACUCAGGACUAAGGACUUACCUUGCAAGAAGGGCAAAAUUUGAAACAGACCUACCACAGUGUGUAAACAAUGCCUUUGUAAGUUUAAAGUAAUUCAUUGGUAAUUCAGUGGAAUGCUAGAACAAAAAGUAAUACUCUUGAGAGUAAAAUAAUAGAAUCCAGAGAUUCUAUAAUACAUCUAUAGCAUCCAGUAUAAAAAAAAUACUAGACAUGUGAAUGAACCCAUAGUCAAGAGAAAAAGCCAUCACCAAAACAGGUUCCGAGAUGGAAUUCACAGACAAGGGCUUUAAAGACACUAUUAGAAAUAUGUGUAUGAACUUAAAGGAAAAGAUGGUUUAAUGAAUGAACAGAUAGUGGUUCUCAGCUGAGACAUGAGAAGUAGAAAAAAGAAACAAUGGAAAUCCUGGAACUACACACACACAAAAAAAAAACCUAAAAUGAAAAAGUUACUGGAAGCCUUAACAAAUUGGAGAAGACAGAAGUGAGAUAACAUUAGUUGGAAACCAGUGUUUACCAGAGGCAAUGAAUAGCACCAGAAAUAGCAAACAGCAUGGAAAAACAAAAACUAAUUUUUUUCUUAUUUUACUUAAAAGACAACAAGCUAUAACAAGGUUUAUAACAUUGUAUUAUUGUAGUAUGUAUUUUAUAACAUAUAGAAGUACAGUUUCAGACAAUGAUAGCAAAAAGGAUGGGGUGGAAUUACAUGGUUGUGAUGAUCUUACAUUUUACUUAAUGUGGUACAAUAUUAGUUCUAAAUAGAUUGAGAUAAGUUGAGGAUACAUAUUAUAAUCCUUAGUGCAACCACUAAAUACACACACACACACGUAUAAAAUAAUAUGUAGAGUGUAUACAAAUAUAUAUGUAUAUGUGUGUAUGGAGAGAGAACUAUAGCUAAAAGAAUACAAAGAGUUAUAGCUAAAAGAGGUUAAAGUUAUAUUUGAUUAACGUAUAUCCAAGGAGUCCAUUUUACUGGAUGACACAGCAAAACCCUGUCUCUUAAAAAAAAUAAAA